rnacentral:rRNA from 1 species
GACGAACGCUGGCGGCGUGCUUAACACAUGCAAGUCGAACGGUGAAGCGCCUUCCUUUUUGGUGGGUGUGGAUGAGUGGCGAACGGGUGAGUAACACGUGAGUAACCUGCCCCCUUCUUCUGGAUAACCGCAUGAAAGUGUGGCUAAUACGGGAUAUUCUGGGUCUGUCGCAUGAUGGGUCUGGGAAAGAUAUUGUUUCGGUGGGGGAUGGGCUCGCGGCCUAUCAGCUUGUUGGGGGGGUGAUGGCCUACCAAGGCGGUGACGGGUAGCCGGCCUGAGAGGGUGGACGGUCACACUGGGAGUGAGACACGGCCCAGACUCAUACGGGAGGCAGCAGUGGGGAAUAUUGCACAAUGGGCGCAAGCCUGAUGCAGCGACGCCGCGUGAGGGAUGGAGGCCUUCGGGUUGUGAACCUCUUUCGCCAGUGAAGCAGGCCUGCCUCGUUUGUGGGUGGGUUGACGGUAGCUGGAUAAGAAGCGCCGGCUAACUACGUG